UACGUAGGGUGCAAGCGUUAAUCGGAAUUACUGGGCGUAAAGCGUGCGCAGGCGGUGAUGUAAGACAGAUGUGAAAUCCCCGGGCUCAACCUGGGAACUGCAUUUGUGACUGCAUCGCUGGAGUGCGGCAGAGGGGGAUGGAAUUCCGCGUGUAGCAGUGAAAUGCGUAGAUAUGCGGAGGAACACCGAUGGCGAAGGCAAUCCCCCUGGGCCUGCACUGACGCUCAUGCACGAAAGCGUGGGGAGCAACAGG
rnacentral:rRNA from 1 species